UACGAAGGGGGCUAGCGUUGCUCGGAAUUACUGGGCGUAAAGCGCACGUAGGCGGUCUUUUAAGUCGGGGGUGAAAUCCUGGAGCUCAACUCCGGAACUGCCUUUGAUACUGGCGAUCUUGAGUCCGGGAGAGGUGAGUGGAACUGCGAGUGUAGAGGUGAAAUUCGUAGAUAUUCGCAAGAACACCAGUGGCGAAGGCGGGUCUCUGGACAGUUCCUGACACUGAGGCACGAAGGCCAGGGGAGCAAACGGG
rnacentral:rRNA from 1 species